AUUGAACGCCGGCGGCAUGCCUUACACAUGCAAGUCGAACGGCAGCACGGGAGCAAUCCUGGUGGCGAGUGGCGAACGGGUGAGUAAUAUAUCGGAACGUGCCCAGGAGUGGGGGAUAACUGCUCGAAAGAGCAGCUAAUACCGCAUACGACCUGAGGGUGAACGGGGGGGAUCGCAAGACCUCUCGCUAUUGGAGCGGCCGCAAUCAGAUUAGAUAGGUGGUGGGGUAAAGGCUGACCAAGGCAAAGAUCUGUAGUUGGUCUGAGAGGACGACGAGCCACACUGGGACUGAGACACGGCCCAGACUCCUACGGGAGGCAGCAGUGGGGAAUUUUGGACAAUGGGCGCAAGCCUGAUCCAGCAAUGCCGCGUGCAGGAAGAAGGCCUUCGGGUUGUAAACUGCUUUUGUCAGGGAAGAAAUCCUCUAGGUUAAUACCCUUGGGGGGAUGACGGUACCUGAAGAAUAAGCACCGGCUAACUACGUGCCAGCCGCCGCAGUAAGAC
rnacentral:rRNA from 1 species